rnacentral:rRNA from 1 species
GAUGAACGCUGGCGGCGUGCUUAACACAUGCAAGUCGAACGGAAAGGCCCAAGCUUGCUUGGGUACUCGAGUGGCGAGCGGGUGAGUAACACGUGGGUGAUCUGCCCUGCACUUCGGGAUAAGCCUGGGAAACUGGGUCUAAUACCGGAUAGGACCACAUUUUGGAUGGUGUGGUGGAAAGUUUUUCGGUGUGGGAUGAGCUCGCGGCCUAUCAGCUUGUUGGUGGGGUAAUGGCCUACCAAGGCGUCGACGGGUAGCCGGCCUGAGAGGGUGUACGGCCACAUUGGGACUGAGAUACGGCCCAGACUCCUACGGGAGGCAGCAGUGGGGAAUAUUGCACAAUGGGCGCAAGCCUGAUGCAGCGACGCCGCGUGGGGGAUGACGGCCUUCGGGUUGUAAACUCCUUUCGCUAGGGACGAAGCGCAAGUGACGGUACCUGGAGAAGAAGCACCGGCUAACUACGUG